rnacentral:lncRNA from 10 species
GAUUUCAAGUCUUCCAACAACUCUUUUUGGGUGGGAGUAGUCAGGAGUCUGUGCUGUGGUUGAAGCCCAGGUUGGCCGUCGGGAGCUGAAAUAGAGGCCAGGACUCCUGGCUCCCCGUCCAGACUCUGAGGACCCAGGAGCCUCCAUGGGUACACUCAGAGGCCACACUAGAUGCAAAAAGAACCAUUUACAGAGAAGUGAGAGGUUCUCAAAGGCUCAACCAAAUGCCUCUGCCAGGAGAAUCUUUCAGAGUGUCCUGGAACAUUGGAAAUAGGCUUAAAGCUUAAAUGAUGAAUCAGAAGAGUUAUGCUGUAUUCUAAUGCUGCCACUAGGGCCACACAGGGUGCCAACAUCCAAUCUCAAGAUCUUCGGGAAAUAUGCUCACCCUCCAAAAUACUUACAGAUGUGUCUCCUCUUUUUUGUAAAAUAAAUGCUCUUCUUAUAUUUGGUG